UCCAUGCCCAAAAGAGGCUGUGUGCAAGAAUGGAAUCCCUUGGGGAUUGGGACAUACUCUGUUGUGUCAUUAAGGGUUCUUUAGGUGAUAGAAUCAUACCUGAGAUCCUAGAGGUGGGUGUCAGUGAAAGACGGCCAGGCUCAUGACCUCACUUUCUCCCUUCAUCCUGGGACUUGCAGGGCUAUCUGGGAAAGGCAGAAACCAUGACAAAGGCAAGUCCACGGUGAAGCAGUUUUCUCACACCUCGGAUUAGCCUCUCACAGGUGCAGUUGAGGUUGAGACAGUGUCUCAGAGGCCGCCUGUUGUGAUGGGGAUGUCCAGUAGUGCUGUUGGGGGGCACAGUGGAUUCCUCAUGAAGGCAAAGAAAAAUCAAAGCUCGCCUGAGAGAACAAGACACCUUGUAUUUGAGUCUAAGCAAUGUACAAAGAUUCCUGUCAGAGGACCGUAAAGCUUCCUGCAAAGUGCAAACAACUUCAACUCCCAUAACGAGAGAACGACACCCAACCUGGAGCACAGCCAGCUUACCCAACGUCUCUUUUGCUCUCUGAAAUCUGUGGCAGCUACAUAAUCUGUAGCAAGAAACAGUCCCAUCCUGCAAUAUCUCAAUGAAAGAGCCCCUUCACAAUGAGAAACCUGUGCAGAUGAAAUGAAAGAGAGACUAGAUUACCAGGAAAAAGCCAAACACAGCUGCCUGCUUCUCAUAAUAAAGUAAUCAUCCAGCCCUCCGAAAGAAGCAGGAGAACAAGACUUUCCUUGUUGGCAGCUGAAAUGGGACUUUACAGUAUUAAAAUUAUCAAAGCUGCCCAGUCAUUAAAAUGCGACAGUGUUUAGAAGGAAGCACUUUUGCAAUGGAUUCCUAUGAGGGUCAUUCUCUGUGAAUUGGGAAGAGUUUAGUGUGCAAGUCCUUGAGCCAGACACAGGAAACCCUAGGCUGACUGGGAAAAUGGAAGUCAGGAAAAGAAGAGAAUGAAAUCCCAAGACAAUGGAGGAGUGCCCCUUCAUGUUGUGAAACACCUGCUCAGCUGGGAACUGAAUUCGAGCUGAGAAGUUUGGGCUUAUAGAUGAUCAGUUUGCAGAGGCUUACCCUCAGCAUAUCAAGAUUGAGUCUUUGGAAAUAAAGCCAAGUGAAUAUAAAAGAGAAGUAGAAGAGCAAAUUGGGCAGAAACAUGUCAAAAGCAAAAAACAAACAACAACAAGAAAACCCAGGAUAACAGGCAGCAUUUCAGUUGGAAUUUCCAAAAUGAUGGCACUGAACAAUCUGAAGUCUGCUUUUAUUUAGUGCCCCUGGCCAGUCAGAAAAGAAUGCACAGCUGCCUCACCAUGACCACCUGGGUCCUGCAGUUCUGCCAGCAGCCAGUACGGGACACAUGAGCCUGCCUUUUCUGACCCUUGGAGGACCCGCGUGUUCAGCACAUGCCACCUGAGGAUGAGAGCUCCAUUCUCCUCAGCACAGACUCCAGCCACACUGCCUCACUCCAGUUGGAGGCAGAGAUAAGUAAAAACCUUCCUCUAACUGCUGAGGAUCAGGGACCCACUAGAAGGGUUUUGUGUGGAAAAUUAGAAACAAAAAAAUAUUCCUAUGGCUCUAGUGCACCCCAAGGACUUUCCCCACACCCAAGUGUGGUGACCACAAUGCCAGGUGCACGCCAUGACCUCGUGACACAAAUAUAGCAUUUGUCACACAAUUAUAACACCUACAAUGGAGAUACAUCUGUAAACAAAUAUAUCACCCAUAAUACAGUUGUGACACUUGUAAUACUAAUGUAACAACUGUAAUAUUGAUCUGACACCUGUAAUACAACUGUAAGACUCAUAACAGCAAUAAAACACUCAGAAUACCAAUAUAGCAUCUGAAAUACAAAUAUAAUCACCCUAAUACUGAUCAAACACCCUUAAUAGAACUCUAACUCUCAUAACACCAAUGUCGAUUCACAAUACAAAUGAAACAUCCAUAACACUGAUGUAACAUCUAUAGUGCUCUCUUGACACCUGUAAUACAACUGUAACACUCACAAUACCAACAUACAACUCAUAAUACCAAUAUGGCAUCUGCAAUACAAAUAUAACAACUUUCAUACUGAUGUAACAACUUUCAUAUUGAUCUAACACAUAUAAUACUAAUAUAGCACUCCUAAUACCACUGUAACAUUUGUAAUACAAAUAGAACAACAAUAACACUGAUGUAACACCCGUAAAUACUGAUGUGACACCUGUCAUACAGAUGUAAGACCUGUAAUACUGACAUAACAUUCCUACACUUACAAAGGCAGUUGGUUUCACAGCUUCCACUGAGCUGGAUUUCGCUCCUAUAAUGAAGUUUGAUGUCGUUGUCUCUGCUUUAGUGACAUGGUAUUGACAUGGUUGUUUUCAUUGAAAAGGAGUUUACUUCCCAAUAGUUUUAUACCUCUAGGAAACUUGAAAUAGCAGUUAGUAUACUUUAUCCUUUCUCCCAGAUUCCCGACUGGUUGUUGCUGUGCCAUAUUUGCAGCUUCAUUCAAAAUAUCCCACUGUGUUUUACAAAAAGUAGAAACACUCUCCCAAAUUACCAUCAUGUAACUACCAAAUCAGGAAAUACAGGGUUAGUAUUGGUAAUUGUAAUGGCAAAAUAUUUAUUUACAAGCACAAAUUUAAUCCUGUCACUUUCCUGAUUUAAUUUUGCUAAUGGUUUUGAGAGGUGAAGCCACCUGAACUUCCUGGGUUGAGUGGGGACUCAGAGAAGU
rnacentral:lncRNA from 1 species